rnacentral:rRNA from 1 species
CCUACGGGUGGCAGCAGUGAGGAAUAUUGGUCAAUGGACGGAAGUCUGAUCCAGCCAUGCCGCGUGCAUGAAGACGGCUCUCUGAGUUGUAAACUGCUUUUGUACAAGAGUAAACCUGAAUACGUGAAUUCAGCUGAACGUACUGUACGAAUCCAGCUCGGCUAACUCCGUGCCAGCAGCCGCGGUAAUACGGAGGAACCAAUCGUUAUCCGGAUUUAUUGGGUUUAAAGGGUGCGUAGGCGGAUUGAUAAGUUAGAGGUGAAAUGUCCGAGCUUAACUCGGGAACUGCCUCUAAUACUGUUGAUCUAGAGAGUAGAUGCGGUAGGCGGAAUGUAUGGUGUAGCGGUGAAAUGCUUAGAGAUCAGACAGAACACC